CCUACGGGAGGCAGCAGUGAGGAAUAUUGGUCAAUGGGCGGAAGCCUGAACCAGCCAAGUAGCGUGCGGGACGAAGGCCCUAUGGGUCGUAAACCGCUUUUGCACGGGGAUAAUACACUCUACUUGUGGAGUUCUGCCGGUACCUUGUGAAUAAGCGCCGGCUAACUCCGUGCCAGCAGCCGCGGUAAUACGGAGGAUGCGAGCGUUAUCCGGAUUUAUUGGGUUUAAAGGGUGCGUAGGCGGUUGUUUAAGUUAGUGGUUAAAUGGCGGGGCUUAACCGUGCUUCGCAGUUGAUACUGGAAGACUUGAGUUCAGAAGAGGCAGGCGGAAUACGUGAAGUAGCGGUGAAAUGCAUAGAUAUAACGAAGAACCCCGAUAGCGAAGGCAGCCUACCAGAGUGCGACUGACGCUGAGGCACGAGAGCGUGGGUAGCGAACAGGAUUAGAUACCCGGGUAGUC
rnacentral:rRNA from 1 species